rnacentral:rRNA from 1 species
GCAUAUCAAUAAGCGGAGGAAAAGAAACUAACAAGGAUUCCCCUAGUAACGGCGAGUGAAGCGGGAAGAGCUCAAAUUUGUAAUCUGGCACCUUCGGUGUCCGAGUUGUAAUCUCGAGAAGUGUUUUCCGCGCCGGACCGCAUACAAGUCUGUUGGAAUACAGCGUCAUAGUGGUGAGAACCCCGUAACUGAUGCGGAUGCCCGGUGCUUUGUGAUACACUUUCGAAGAGUCGAGUUGUUUGGGAAUGCAGCUCAAAUUGGGUGGUAAAUUCCAUCUAAAGCUAAAUAUUGGCGAGAGACCGAUAGCGAACAAGUACCGUGAGGGAAAGAUGAAAAGCACUUUGGAAAGAGAGUUAACAGUACGUGAAAUUGUUGGAAGGGAAACGCUUGAAGUCAGACUUGCUAUUUGGAAUUCAGCCGCAAGGUGUACUUUUCAAUUCGCAGGCCAGCAUCAGUUUUCGGGGGUGGAAAAGGGUAGAGAGAAGGUAGCAAUUUCGGUUGUGUUAUAGCUCUUUGCUGGAUUCAUCCUUGGGGACUGAGGAACGCAGCACGCUUUUUGCAAGGCUUUCGAGCUUUUCGUGCUUAGGAUGCUGGUGGAAUGGCUUUAAACGACCCGUCUUGAAACACGGACC